CCCCUGUUUCUUUAUUCUUACGCUUGGUUAUAAGUCUGAAGGUCGGAAUAGAAUCACCUUCUGUUACUCUCUAAAAAGGAUCAGAUAGAGGAGAAGAAGAAGAAGGAGCUUUUUCAUUGGCCGUUACUUCUAGGGUUGGAACAACCAUUUCCUCACGCUCUUCUACACUCUUUUCCUCCCAAAACCCUAAUACUCUUUCCAGUUUCAACACCCCUAUCUUGGGUUUUUUCGUUUUAAUCUCAAAAUUCCCGAAUUACAUGACCGUAGUCUCAAAUUUUAAUCUCAAUUGAUGCGGAUGCUCUAUUGGUGGCUUGAGCUGAAGAAUGUGCCUGUGUCUUUGUGGUUCUUUUAACAAAAUCCAACGUUGUACUAGAAUACAAUUCUAGUUUUAUAGGAUUUGAGAUGUAUGGUCAAGCAAAUUAUGCUUCUCAGUUUGGGCAGGGUCCUCCGAAACCGUGGCCACCUGCAUACCAACAGCGUGCAGGAGCGCCUCCUCCACCUCCUCCUCCUACCUCAUAUGUUCAACCAGGUCCUCCAAUCCCAUCACAUCCUAUAACUCAACAAGCACCUGCCCCCCCACCUCAGGCUCAACCUCUACAUUUGUCUCAGCCGGGUUCCCAUGGCCCACUACCUCCCUUCUGUCAGGGCCCAUCCAUUCAAGUGUUACCUGGCGGGAUUACGAAUAUCCGUCCAUAUUUUCACACGUUUCCACCAGUCCAUGGAAACACUCAAGUUUCUGUAUUUAACUCAAAUGCUCAGCAGAAUGUACAACUUUCACACUCGGGAGUUCAAAAUAUGCAUCAUGUUCUACCUCCGCCGCCGCCACUACCACUACCACCACCACCACCACCACCUCCACCCCCUUCUCAAGCUCCCAAUCCAGAUUUAUUACGGCCUCCGCAGCCUUCUACUGUAGGAUCUCUGCAUCCUCCUUCUCAAGGACAAGCUUUAUAUGGGGCUCGAACUCACCAACCAUUGCAGCAAGGUGGUUUGCAGGUCUUUCCCUCUAUUCCACCACACCCAACAACAUCCACUUUUCCUACUCCCUCAUCCAAUUUUCUUGGAGAUUCUCAUCUGCUUCCAAUGGCUCCUCCUCCUCCACCACCAUCCUCUCCCCCACCUAUUCCACCUUCUCCCCCUCCUCCCACGUCACCCUCUCCUUCAAUUCCACACCCAGAUUCUUCAAACUUAUUGCAUGGGUCUGACUUAGGUCCUAGUUCUACCGUUCAUUAUAGUAAAGACUUGAAGCCCUCUGAAAUUGAUCAAGGAGGUACACCUCCCAGUCAUUUAGGAGAUAAUGGACCCGGGAAUGACGAACAUGGAAACUUAGAAGUUGAUAGUGGCCUCAUGGUUUCAAAUGUGGACAAUGAGAAAUUGGCAGAUAAAGAUUAUGUGCAGGUUCUUCCUCCAUCUCCACCUAAGCCAAAAGAUGAUAGAAUUGUCAAGAAGAUAGAAGUGUUAUGUCAGCUCAUUGCUGAUAAUGGUCCCAAUUUUGAAGACACAAUUCGACAAAAGGAAUCUGGUAAUCCAGAGUUUGAAUUUUUACUUGGUGGUGAACCAGGAAGCGAAUCUGCAAUUGGCCACAAAUAUUUCCUGUGGAUGAAGAUGAAAUAUUGUUUGGCUUCCAAAAAUAUAGAAAUAACAGAAAGAUGUUCAUUGAGAUAUUUACGAAUUGAGCCACAGUCUGAGAAUUUGACAGUGUUAGCAGCAUCCCUUUCACCUGCAAACUCUGACAUGGAGAUGGAAGAUGACAUCACUGUAGAACAAGGAACUAGUCACUCGUUUGAAAUUCAAAGCUACGAGUGCGAAGCAAGAAAAGAAGAGCAUGAUGCAAGGGAUCUGGUACAAUUACAAGAACCUGAAGUUUUGAGAAGCUGCAGCCCUGAAAAGGAGAAGGUAGCUGAAGAGGGAGGGCCAAAACAUCUGCUCAACCACGAAAAAUUUGGCAGCAUUGCAUCUUGCCAAGUUCACAGCCCUGUCAGAAGUACUGCUGGAGUUGCUGGACAUCCUUCUGGAAACGAUUUUGAGAAUUCUCUUUCCUACUUACAAAAUGACAAAGGUCAAGCUGGUGAAGUAGCAUCUUCCGCAGGCACUAUUUCUAGUCAGUCUACUGCACUUAUUACAGGUGGCAGCCCAUUUAGACUUAUACAGGACUAUGCAUCCGAUGAAAAUUCUGAAAGUGAUGAGGAUUCACACCGUACAGAUGUUCAUUUUGUUGCUAUUUCACCUUCCACUCCAGCUUAUUCCAAGACUUCUGACAAAGACACUGGUGAUCUGACUACUCUUGGGUCAAAAGGUUCUUGCCAGGUUCGUUGGAGUUAUGUUCCACCUUGUGAAUUCUCAAUGCCCGAACCUGGUGCUCAGUUCCACUCAGAAUCACCAAAACAGGUUAUUGAUGCUACUGAGGCAAAUGUCCGAAAGACAGGGAAUGAACUAAGCUACAACGACCAACAUAAUCAAAUUGAUACUGUCACAGGUACAAAGUCUUUGGAUGCAAUGAAUGGUUGUAGUGUUGAUGUUCCCCAAGAUACUGGCAAGUUACAAAAGGAAACUGAUGCAGAAAAGGGGAGGUUGGGACCAUCUCCUGUAAAAAUAGAUGAAUUUGGGAGAUUAGUCAGAGAAGGUGGCAGUGAUAGUGAUUCUGACGAUUCACACUAUAGAAGGAGACAUAGGAGUAGAAGAUCUAGAAAUAGUAGUGAAAGCCGUUCUCCUGUCGAUAGAAGGAGGGGACGAAGAAGUCCUCGGAGAAGAAGGGAGAGGCGAAGUCGUUCUCGCAGUUGGUCUCCUCGUAACCAAAGAGACAGAAGCAGAUCUCCUGUCAGCAGGCGUACAAGCCAGUUUAGUAAUGAGAAUAAGAGACGAGAUAAGGGUAUGGUACGGAAAUGUUUUGACUUUCAGCGAGGUAGGUGCUAUAGAGGAGCAUCUUGUCGCUAUGUGCACCAUGAACCCAACAAGAACGAUGGUUCAAGAUUUCAUAGGAGCAAACAUCAGGAUGUUCAUUCAACUUCCAAGAAUAUAAAGAUAAGAGAGGACACUAUGAACAUGUCUAGGGAAGUAUCAGAUCUUGGGCAUACUAAAGUCGAGAUUCAGGAGAGCAUCCUGCAUAAUGUAUCCCCAAAAGAGGAUACUCAUGACUGGAAGACAGAUAAUCCUACGGGUGAUCCAGAUUCAUUUGUAUCUAAAUGUCGAAGUUCUAGCGAAAGAACUGGCUUAGUUCAGGAUGCAUUAAUUUGUUUGGAACCAGCUGAGGCUGUCCACGUUCGUGCUAACGAUGAUGGUCAAGAACCAAAGAAGUCUUAUGAGCAACCUUCAGUUACGGCCUCCUCACAAUGCAUGAGCAAUGCUGAUACUGAGAAAUUAUCUGGUGAUAUUUCCAUGAGCGUGCUAACUUCUGUAGAGAAUUCUGUGGCUCAGCAAUCCAACACCUUUGUUGCAGAGCUUCAAUCUUCCACUGACCUUUCGCACCAGAUGGAUGGUUCUUUUGUCUCCAAUUUAUUACCGGAUCAAGUAACUGCAGUUACCUCCAAUAAAGCUCCUGAAUGGGAACAUUUUCCAGAUAGAACUUCAUCCAUUAAGCCACAGUUUGAUACCAGUUCUGCUAUUCAGCUACCUUUGACCUCACAAAUUUUAUCAGAGUCUCCAGUACCAAAACCACUAUCUGCUACUGCUCCAGUUAGUGCUACUGAUGAUGACCAUUCUCUUACAGAGCUGCCUCCUCCGCCACCUCUCAUAAUUUCACAUGUCAGUAGUGCUGAGAUUUCAAUGCCUGCUCCCUAUAAUUUUGUGUCACAAAAUUUGUCCUUUCCUUCUAACUCUUCACUACCAAUAGGUUUUCAUCCUCACCACGGUAUGGUGUCCAUUCAGCCAUCUCACUUUCAAAGUACUUCUUUACUGCCUCCGAAACCGUUGUAUAAUUCAUUAGCUCCUGUAGCUACCAAUGCUGGUAUGCCAAUGCAAUUCCAUCAUAGUCAUUUGUCUCAAGGACGUGACCUGGGUUCUCAGUCUGCUAUGAGUUCCCAGCCAUUGGAGCUGCAUUCUCAUUCUAAGCUUGGUGAGUCCCCAUUGCAAGAGCCUUAUAGAGCUCCUCCAAUGCACAUGGAUGAGAUUAGAUCAAUUGCCCCAGUUGCAAACAAUCGACCUACUCAACCUUUUGGAUUCCCAAGCUUUCAGAAUGAAGAAAAUCUUGGACGGACUUCUGUAGAGAUGAAUUCUUCCAGUUUUUUUCCUCAACGAAACUUUAGCGAUCAAUCUAUGCUUGCUACAAAUGCAAAUAGAAUGCAACCUUCUGGGGACAAUUUUCCUCCUAGUGAAUUUCGAAGUUCAUUUUCACAGUUUCAACCUUAUUCACGGUUUCAACAGCCAUUGUAUACCUCACAACCUGCACACGAUACCUUGUUCCAUGACCCAAGCCAGAUUGGUAGUAUCUCUCGGCAUUAUCCCGAUCCUCUAAGCAGGAGCCAUCCGUCUUUGCUUCCUGAAUUUGGGGGUUUGGGAAUUACCACACAUCAUAAUCCUUAUGCGUCUACUUUUGAGAAGCCACUUAGCUCUAGUUUCAGAUCUAACUUUUUGAACUUUGGGAAUGAUGCACCUAGUGGUGAUAUACGUGGUUCUACUUUCAAUUUGAACAGUGUUCACGUCGAUGGGCAAGGUACUAAUUAUGUUGGAUCUAGGCAGACAGUUGCUUCUCCAAAUUCCACAAAACCUUUGGGGAAACUCUUGUCUGGUACAGACGAUGAUCAAUAUGACCCACUCUUUGACAGCAUUGAGCCAUCAUCACCUAUAACCAAGAAAUCCGAUCGUGGUCAAAAGCUGAAAAAAGCAAGGGAAUCUCAUAUGAUAGCAAGACUUGGUGGUUCCCAUAAACUGCUAGAUGUGGAGGAGAACAACAAGCAUAAGGAAGUCGCUGCUGUGACUUCAACUACUUCUUUGGAGAAUGAUGAAUUUGGAGAGACAGGAGAUGCAGAAGCUGGUGCUGUUGAGAAUGACCUUGACGAUGAUGCAAACUUAUCCGGAGAAAUUGAAAUCGAUCAGGUCAAGUCCUCUGAGAAGAGCAAGAAAUCCAAAGGUUCCAGGUCUCUGAAGCUUUUUAGGAUUGCUAUUGCUGAUUUUGUCAAGGAAGUUUUAAAACCAUCAUGGCGACAAGGCAACAUGAGCAAGGAAGCUUUUAAGACAAUUGUCAAGAAGACUGUCGAUAAGGUAUCUGGAGCUAUGAAGAGUCACCAAAUACCCAAGUCUCAAGCAAAGAUAAAUCGAUACAUUGAUUCAUCACAACGAAAACUGACAAAGCUUGUCAUGGGUUAUGUCGACAAGUACGUUAAGACAUAGUAACACGAUGAAGGCUGCAAUCCCAAUGUGGUUUACUAUGAAGGCGAGGUUAUUAUGGUUGCUUCUCCCCUUGUUCGGUGUAUAUCAGGAGUCAUGCAUUUGUCCUGGACAUCAGCUGCAGGGGAAUGAUAGAUGAUAGAUCCAAGGUGUCGGUUGAAAUGUUGGUCAGAGUUAGUCAUGGUCCUGGAGAUUCUGGAGAAAGGAUGAAGCUUAUAAUAUGUCAAGCAUCGUGACAUGAGUUCUUUAGCAUAUGAUUCUCAUUAUAUUCCUGAGGUCGCAGCAAAACAACAUGAAACAACUAAGUGAUGUGAUAUUACUUUGAUUUUUAUGAAAACUCUGUUCAUGCUUCUGGUUUAAGGACCUAUCGAGGAACAUUGCAUCAUCCCUCAACCAUUUAGUGGCCAUUGACUUCCUUAGAGUUGCACUUUCCGGUCGUAUUCUCAAUUUAUGGAUAUAAGGAAAAAAGGAUAGACCAGCCUCUGAGUUCGUAACUCUUUGACUGGUUAUCAACGUUGCUGCAGAAUCCUGAAGAGAAAGGGAGCUUAGAGAAUUAUCGCCUCUGUAGAUGAAAUUUGACUACUACCCUCUAGUUUAAUCUUAUGCAAGCAUGAUUUUAUGUUUUCUAGAAGAGAAGCUAGAGAGGUUAAUGUUGGCAGUUGAAUGUUAGUCUGAUCUUUUCUUGAAUUUAUAAUCUGUUUGAGGGGUGGUGAGAAUUAUUGCAACUGAUUGAGAUAUAAGUUUGGCAGUCGAGCUUCCUUUUCACUUGAAUUGAAGGAUGAUAAUUUUCGAAGCUUUACCUUGUUCUUAGAGUAAGACACUCUUGUUACAA